AUGCUCACUUCGGCAGCACUUAUACUAGCGUUGAAACGAUACAGAGAUCGGCAUGGCCCUGUGCAAGGAUGACUUACACGUCCCUGAAGCGUGGCAUAUUUUU